AUGGCGCCGCCUCCCAAGAACAUGCCACCACCUAACAUUGAAGCUUACGCUCUACCAAGGCUAGAGAUGCGCUUUGAAACUUUCAAAGAAGCAAAGGACUUCUACAAUGUUUAUGCAAAGCACGCGGGUUUUGCUGUCAGGGAAGGCUCCAAGGUCGAGACCAGAGUCUACCUUUAUUGCACGUGCUAUGGAGUCUAUGAAUCGAAGGCUACAGCUCACCCCCAAAUGCUUGUCUUCUUGCACUCCUACAAAAACUUUGACAAAACAAUCUUGGAGUACGUCAAGUACCUGCAGUUCAAAGGCAUUGAACACACGCAAAUCAUGAGCAUACUGGGCGGUGAUGACCCCGGUAGUUACUUCCUCGAAAUGAAUGCCAAAGACCUGAUUAACAUCAAAGCAAAGAAUUCAAGGAUGGAUGAUGUGGACGACGUCCUAAAGACUGUCAACUUAUUUAGGGAGAUGAAAGCUAUAAACAGGGAAUUCUUCUGUGACAUGCAACUUGAUGAGUCCGGCAGUGUUAAGAACAUAUUUUGGGCGAAGGCAAGCUGCCGAGGGGUGUAUCAGGACUUUGGUGACUGCAUAAAGUUUGACACCACAUAUAAGACGAGCAAGUACCAUAUGCCACUUGGGGUGUUUGUGGGUACUAACAACCACUUACAGACUACAUUCUUUGCUUUCGCCCUGAUAAGAGAUGAGGAUGCAGAUUCAUUCAGAUGGUUGUUCAAGACAUUUUUAAGGUGCAUGAGAGGGAAGGCUCCUACAUGCAUCCUCACAGAUGCUUUCAAGAACACAGUACACAAGCUGUGCCGCUGGAACAUUAUGAAGAAGCACGGGGAACACCUCGCAUACCUGUACAACAUGCACGAAAACUUUAAGGAUGAAUUCACAUCAACCCUCAACUGGCCUAUCAUGCCAACUGAGUUUGAGGCUGCCUGGAAAAGACUCAUGGAUAAGUGCAACCUCCAUGAUGAUGCCACGAUGGUGGCCAUGUGGAACGAGCUUAGACAAGUUUUUGCUGCAAGAAAACUAAUAAUUGGGUCAUCAUUCUUGCAUGGGCAGAAGGAACAAAACACGCUGACCUUCUAUUGGUUUGACACCCAGAUGGCAAAGCUUUACUCACAAGCUGUGUACAGCGAGAUCAGAAAAAGGCUAAAACCGAGCACACUCUUCACGGCGACAGAGACGGAAGAGCCCACAAAGUACCUCGUGUGCUACACCAACCCGCAAAAACUGUCUGCGUGGUCUCAUCAUGCAUUCCAGGUUGUUGUAGACCCUGUGGGAGAAAUAUACGAUUGCGAGUGCAAGCUAUGGGACCACACAGACAAGGCCGAUGAGAUGAUCUCCGGGCUCUGGAAGAAGGUUGGCCGCUUGCGUCAUAGGAUCGUCAGCGUUGGUCUGCAGUACACCAGGGAAGAUGAACCUCCCCAGAUGGCAGUAGUCCUGCAUUUGUGCGUGGAGGAACUCUGCCUGGUGUACCACAUUGCAGCGGCCACAAAAUGUUUCAUCAUUGAAGGCGACAAAGAGAAGCUGAAGAUGUCUGGUUUGGAGAUCAACCCCGACAAGCCCAAGCGCCUCAAAGAGUUCCUGCAGGAGGAGAAAUUGUACACAUUUGACGGUUUCAGCAUUGAAGGUGACAAGCGGAUGUUGAACAAGUCUGGUUUGGAGACCAACCCCAACAACUUUAUCGACAUGCAGCACAAGUGGAAAGUUCCAACCACCAGGAAAUUGUACAACUCCUUAGCCGAUGUUGCAGCCAGCGUCAUCCACCCAUUCUACAAAGGCAUGAAGAAGAAGAUCGACACGGAGGAAGACCACAAACUAUGGGGGAUCAGCCCGGUGCCAGACAAGCUCAUCGAGUACGCAGGAAUAGAUGCGUACGCCACCUACAAGUCAUGGAAGAUAAUCGACAACAUCACAAUAGGUUUGGAAAUUUGA
rnacentral:rRNA from 1 species